rnacentral:rRNA from 1 species
AGAACGAACGCUGGCGGCAGGCCUAACACAUGCAAGUCGAACGCAACUUCGGUUGAGUGGCGCACGGGUGAGUAACGCGUGGGAACCUGUCCUGUGGUACGGAAUAACAUCGGGAAACUGGUGCUAAUACCGUAUAUCCCCUGAGGGGGAAAGAUUUAUCGCCAUAGGAGGGGCCCGCGUAGGAUUAGCUAGUUGGUGAGGUAACGGCUCACCAAGGCGACGAUCCUUAGCUGGUCUGAGAGGAUGAUCAGCCACACUGGGACUGAGAUACGGCCCAGACUCCUACGGGAGGCAGCAGUGGGGAAUAUUGGACAAUGGGCGAAAGCCUGAUCCAGCCAUGCCGCGUGUGUGAUGAAGGCCUUCGGGUUGUAAAGCACUUUCGCACGUGACGAUGAUGACGGUAACGUGAGAAGAAGCCCGGCUAACUUCGCGCCAGCAGCCGC